CACUUGUAGCCUGUAGCUGUGUGUUAGGGCGGCUCGUGGGCGUGGCCCCUUCGGCUGCAUAGCAGGUGGCUUGCAGUGAGCUUGUAGUGGCCUGUUGCUUGUGACUCCUUCCUUGUACGCCAGUCCCCUUUUUUUGUGAUGCUGACAUGAGCACAGCAGGGCCAUGACGGGGCUACCACACAAAGGAGAAGAGCAAAGAUGUGGACGAGGAAGAAGAUGAGGAUGUGAGGAAGGAGGCAGUGGAGGUUCUGGCAAGACAGUCUGAACAGGAACACCACCCAAGAAAGGGAGGACAAGGAGCCAAGCUGGAAGGAAGACUGCAUAGGAUGGAAAUUUGAUCUUCAGCUGGACGGUGAGCAGACUGACGUGCAGGU